rnacentral:rRNA from 1 species
AGGGCACCACCAGGAGUGGAGCCUGCGGCUUAAUUUGACUCAACACGGGGAAACUCACCAGGUCCAGACACAAUAAGGAUUGACAGAUUGAGAGCUCUUUCUUGAUUUUGUGGGUGGUGGUGCAUGGCCGUUCUUAGUUGGUGGAGUGAUUUGUCUGCUUAAUUGCGAUAACGAACGAGACCUUAACCUACUAAAUAGGGUUGCUGGCACUUGCCGGUUGACUCUUCUUAGAGGGACUAUCGGUUUCAAGCCGAUGGAAGUUUGAGGCA